CCCACCAAGGAUGCAUGGAUCAACCACGCAAGUCCAUUCUUGCAAUCCAUCUGUGGCGAGGGUUCAUGACAGACAAGCCAAUAGAUUUGGGGGUCCACUUCCCGGUGAAACAAAUGUUCAUUGCGGACAAUACGAAGACGAUGAUUGGUACAAUCAGGUGAAUAUAUUAGAAUUUUUAUUCUUCUCUCUC